GGAGCAGCACGUGGUGAUGUGAGGCGAUGUGAGGGCGGCUUUGAAAGUGCGUGUGUGUACAGACACACACACACACACCAUAUGUAUAUAGAGGGUGUACACACGUGUGUGUGUGAGAGAGUCAGUCAGCACGUGGCGACGUGAGGGCAGCUUUGAAAGGUGUGUGUGUGUACACCAUAUACAUAUAGGGGGUGGAGAAGGGAGUAACACACACGUGUGUGUGUGUAUAUAUCAAAUAGGCGUAGGUUUACGAGCUAGCCACGAAGGAGCUCUGUGAGAGAAGGAGGAAGACCGCACAAGAAAACUAUAUCCUGGAAAGGUUCAUUCUUCUGCACGCAGCUUCCCAACUCGGCUGCCCAGCUCGGAGGCAGAGACAGGUGCUUGGUAGGGCUGUGCUCCAGGACACACCGUGCAGAUGCCUCCGGUGUGGGCUGCAAGGGCUGGCGAUCUCCGGUUUGGAAGGUGACCUCCUACGCUCUGCUGGUUAGCCACGCUGCAAAUUUAAUAGAUUUCAUAGAAAUCUUGCACUCUGGCUUUUUCUUGUUCCUGUAGCAGCCUAGGGUUGCAACCCUUGUGCUUUGAGAAUUAAAGAACGUGGCAGAAUACGGCAGACCUGCAGAGGCGUCCCUAGAAAGGUUUUUCAGUGAUUCUUUCCAGAGUAUUAUUUUGGUGCAACCUCGUCAUCCUAUAUUGAACGGCCAUCAUCUUGCCAUUUCAUCGGUGCGUCCUCCAAAGUGAUUUCAGGACGAGUUUAGUGUAUGGGCAUCAGUCGCCUUGUGAAAAAACAGCUCCCUCGGAUGCCGUGAUGUCACCUCCAAAUAAAUAUUAUUC